CCCAAGAACGUCCCCUUUCGCCCCGGCAGCCCCCACCCGUCUUUCAGGAACUGAAUUUUAACUGCGCGGUCAAAUCAAAGAAUCAGCCGCCCCCCGCCGCCUACUUCUUUCUCUUCAAUCAGCUGUUCCCGCUAAUUACCGCUGUUGCUGUGAAACUCUUCUCCAGCUGGUAUACCUCAAGUUCCACUCAGGAUAAUCUACCUUGCGUCGAACUAUACUACUCCUCGGACAUAAUUCGAAUAAUAAUUGGAUUGGUGUUGCAAUUUCUUUUUCUACUUUGAGGCGGGUAGAUAAUGGAUGAUAACAGCUCUGCAAAAGUUUUUGUCCCAGCAGCUAUUAUGCAACCAUUGCUAGAUGCAUCAAACUUAUCUGAACUGGACCAGGCCCUAGAAUUUCUUAUACAAACUGCCAAGUCUGCUGAUGGUCGUGCAGACUUCGCUUCUAAGAAUAUGGUAAAUGCAGUCCUUCAGCUUUGCCAAGUUCUUGAAUUUCCCUCCAAUGGCGAUCUUCUUUUAUCUUCACUAAAGCUUCUUAGGAACUUAUGUGCUGGCGAAAUGCGUAAUCAGAACUCAUUUCUUGAACAAAACGGAGUUGGAAUUAUUUCCGGUGUUAUUAGUUCCGUUAAACCUUCCCUCGAAUGUGGUUGUGAGAUUAUUCGUAUGUGCUUGCAACUUUUAGGAAAUGUUGCCUUGGCUGGAGGAGAACAUCAGGGUGCUAUUUGGAGUGAAUUUUUCCCCCGUGGCUUUUACAAGAUAGCUGAACUGCGAAGUAGAGAAACCUGUGAUCCUUUAUGCAUGGUGAUUUAUACAUGCUCUGGGGAGACUGAUGAAUUACUUGGGCAAUUAUGUUCAAGUCAGGGGCUGCAUAUAAUUACAGAAGUUUUAAGCACUGUUUCAUUAGUUGGUUUCAGUGAAGAUUGGUUUAAAUUGCUUCUUUCGAGAGUCUGUCUUGACAAAUCAUGUUUUGCAUCAACUUUCUCUAAAUUACACCCUGUCAGUGAAGUCGGGGAUCAUGCAGAUAUCACUGCCAAAAGUGUGCAUUUUUCAGCUGAGCAAGCAUUUCUGCUGCGUAUUCUGUCAGAGAUCUUAAAUGAACGAAUCGAAGAUGUUGUCAUUUCCAUCGAUUUCUCUUUAUGCAUUCUUGAAAUCUUAAGAAGUGCAGUUGAAGUGGUUGAUUCUGUUCCCAAGGGGAAGUCAGCCCUUCCAACAGGUCACACUGGUAUUGAUGUUCUAGGAUAUUCUCUGACCACUUUGAGAGAUAUCUGCGCUUGUGCAGAUUUAACAGGUUUGGAGAUAGAGGGAUCAAAUCGUGUUGUGGAUAUGCUAGUAUCAUCUGGACUCAUUGAUUUUUUGUUGAGUUUGCUUCGUGACCUAGAACCUCCCACAAUCAUUAAGAAGGCAAUGAGAAAAGAUGAGACUUCUAAUGAGGCAGGCAGCUAUCCAUUGAAGCAAUGCCCUUACAAAGGUUUCAGAAGAGAUAUUGUUGCUAUUCUUGGAAAUUGUGCAUACCAUCGGAAGCGUGUUCAAGAUGAAAUCAGAGAGAAGAAUGGGAUUCUUUUGCUGUUGCAGCAAUGUGUACUUGAUGAGGAUAACCCAUUCUUGAGAGAAUGGGGAAUUUGGUCUGUAAGAAAUUUACUGGAAGGGAAUGCAGAAAACCAGCAAGUGGUAGCCGAUCUGGAGAUCCAAGGAUCUGUAGAUGUUCCGGAAAUGGUUAAUCUUGGCCUGCGAGUAGAGAUGGAUCCCCAAACACGGCGUGCAAAACUAGUCAAUACGUAGUGAAACAUUGCAGUUUUGUUUUACUGUUUAAGUCGAGCCAAAAGCUGACCGACUUCUUCAAGGAGUUGCAGAUACUACCAGCAUCACACUUCAUCUCGCAGAAGGUGGCGCCGAUGCCCUUUCCAUCCUGAUGGCACCCAUUGUAACAGCUGUUAUAGCAGUCACUGAACUGCUGCGCGGUGGUGGCUUCAGCCUUGUGAAUGUGCACUGCGGCAACGACAACCAUGCACAUGAGAAACACUGCAACAAACUGCUUUGCCAUCUUGUUUAUCUUUUGCUGUUCUUUCUUUCUUUUUUUUUUGGGAUCUUUUUUCUCUUUUGCAGAUUUUUUUUUUUACUUGUUGUCAGUGCUUCCUUGGACGAGUUUGGAUUGAGGGAGGACGAGGCUAUUUGUAGGAGCUUUUUCUUGUUUUCUUUCGAUGGUAAACCUUAAACUACGGAAACUUCAUGGCUUAUUUUUGUUUUUGAAAAAGUAAGUGGCUUGGCUAAA